rnacentral:rRNA from 1 species
AUUGAACGCUGGCGGCAGGCCUAACACAUGCAAGUCGAGCGGAUGAAGGGAGCUUGCUCCUGGAUUCAGCGGCGGACGGGUGAGUAAUGCCUAGGAAUCUGCCUGGUAGUGGGGGAUAACGUCCGGAAACGGGCGCUAAUACCGCAUCCGUCCUGAGGGAGAAAGGGGGGGUUCUUCGGACCUCACGCUAUCAGAUGAGCCUAGGUCGGAUUAGCUAGUUGGUGGGGUAAAGGCCUACCAAGGCGACGAUCCGUAACUGGUCUGAGAGGAUGAUCAGUCACACUGGAACUGAGACACGGUCCAGACUCCUACGGGAGGCAGCAGUGGGGAAUAUUGGACAAUGGGCGAAAGCCUGAUCCAGCCAUGCCGCGUGUGUGAAGAAGGUCUUCGGAUUGUAAAGCACUUUAAGUUGGGAGGAAGGGCAGUAAGUUAAUACCUUGCUGUUUUGACGUUACCAACAGAAUAAGCACCGGCUAACUUCGUG